GUUCUCAUCCUCGGUUACCGGGCCGUGAGUCCGUGCGGGGCGACUCGGCCUGGGGGUGUCCUGGGCUCCGGAGAGGGCGGCCCUGACCUCCGGGGGUCUCUACGUGAGACCGGGGCUGCUCCACUGGGGAUUACCGGGAACGGCAGGUGCACCGGAUGGGCGCAGCACGCUUCCAGGUGGUCAAACCCUCCCCAAAAAGCUGAGAGCUGGGGGAGGACGUGGCAGGUGCUGUCCCUCCUGGGGAGGGGGUCCCAGGGUGCUCUGGGCCCUGAUCCUCCCUGUGCCUGUUGUGCUGACCUGGCCCUGCAGAGCUGGGAGGUGAGGACAGAUGGAAGGAAGAAGCUGGUGGAGUUGUGAGGGGCCAUUUUCCUCAAGUCUUCAGCCAAGGAGAGCCAGGUAUGGGGCACAGAGCCCACCUGGAGCCCCAGUGUGCUGGCACUGAUGUCCCCUCAUCCUCAGGCGACCACGGGGAUCUUCAUAAA